rnacentral:rRNA from 1 species
GAUGAACGCUGGCGGCGUGCCUAAUACAUGCAAGUCGAGCGAACAGACGAGGAGCUUGCUCCUCUGACGUUAGCGGCGGACGGGUGAGUAACACGUGGAUAACCUACCUAUAAGACUGGGAUAACUUCGGGAAACCGGAGCUAAUACCGGAUAAUAUAUUGAACCGCAUGGUUCAAUAGUGAAAGACGGUUUUGCUGUCACUUAUAGAUGGAUCCGCGCCGCAUUAGCUAGUUGAUAAGGUAACGGCUUACCAAGGCAACGAUGCGUAGCCGACCUGAGAGGGUGAUCGGCCACACUGGAACUGAGACACGGUCCAGACUCCUACGGGAGGCAGCAGUAGGGAAUCUUCCGCAAUGGGCGAAAGCCUGACGGAGCAACGCCGCGUGAGUGAUGAAGGUCUUCGGAUCGUAAAACUCUGUUAUUAGGGAAGAACAAAUGUGUAAGUAACUAUGCACGUCUUGACGGUACCUGAUCAGAAAGCCACGGCUAACUACGUG